GCCUGCUUAGCAUAGUGGCUAAUGCGUUGCACUUGUAUCACCCCGACGACAUGCAAAGAUCACAGGUUCGAUUCCUGUAGUAGGCA